rnacentral:rRNA from 1 species
UACGAAGGGUGCAAACGUUGCUCGGAAUUAUUGGGCGUAAAGCGCACGUAGGCGGCUUAGCAAGUCGGAAGUGAAAUCCCACGGCUCAACCAUGGAAGUGCUUUCGAAACUGCUGAGCUUGAGUACGAAAGAGGAUCGCGGAAUUCCCGGUGUAGAGGUGAAAUGCGUAGAUAUCUGGAGGAACAUCGGUGGCGAAGGCGGCAUCCUGGACCGAUAUUGACGCUGAGGCGCGAAAGCCAGGGGAGCAAACGGG